UACGUAGGGGGCAAGCGUUGUCCGGAAUCAUUGGGCGUAAAGCGCGUGUAGGCGGCUCGGUAAGUCUGCUGUGAAAGUCCAGGGCUCAACCCUGGGAUGCCGGUGGAUACUGUCGAGCUCGAGUCCGGAAGAGGCGAGUGGAAUUCCUGGUGUAGCGGUGAAAUGCGCAGAUAUCAGGAGGAACACCAAUGGCGAAGGCAGAUCUCUGGGCCGUAACUGACGCUGAGGAGCGAAAGCAUGGGGAGCGAACAGG
rnacentral:rRNA from 1 species